rnacentral:rRNA from 1 species
GAUGAACGCUGGCGGCGUGCCUAAUACAUGCAAGUCGAGCGAACAGACGAGGAGCUUACUCCUCUGACGUUAGCGGCGGACGGGUGAGUAACACGUGGAUAACCUACCUAUAAGACUGGGAUAACUUCGGGAAACCGGAGCUAAUACCGGAUAACAUGUUGAACCGCAUGGUUCAACAGUGAAAGACGGUCUUGCUGUCACUUAUAGAUGGAUCCGCGUCGCAUUAGCUAGUUGGUAAGGUAACGGCUUACCAAGGCAACGAUGCGUAGCCGACCUGAGAGGGUGAUCGGCCACACUGGAACUGAGACACGGUCCAGACUCCUACGGGAGGCAGCAGUAGGGAAUCUUCCGCAAUGGGCGAAAGCCUGGCGGAGCAACGCCGCGUGAGUGAAGAAGGUCUUCGGAUCGUAAAACUCUGUUAUUAGGGAAGAACAAAUGUGUAAGUAACUAUGCACGUCUUGACGGUACCUAAUCAGAAAGCCACGGCUAACUACGUG